rnacentral:lncRNA from 1 species
CUCGUCCGCCGCGGCGUCGUCAGCGCCAGCGGCCUGAGCACCGACGGACGCGGCGGCGCCGGCGAGUAGGACGAGGACGACGACCGCGGCGAGGCUGGUUGUUGGUGGUACAGCAGCACUACUACCACCGCUAAUCUUCGCCAUUGCCUGAUGAUCAAUGCGUGCGCGUAUUGAAUUAUUGAUGGAUGGAUGCUGUGAAGUGAAGUGUGU